rnacentral:rRNA from 1 species
UACGAAGGACCCAAGCGUUAUCCGGAUUUAUUGGGUUUAAAGGGUGCGUAGGCGGGUUAUUAAGUCAGUGGUGAAAUCCCUCGGCUCAACUGAGGAACUGCCUUUGAAACUGUCUGGCUUGAGGCCGGGAGAGGGUAGCGGAAUUCCCAGUGUAGCGGUGAAAUGCGUAGAUACUGGGAGGAACACCGGUGGCGAAGGCGGCUACCUGGACCGGUUCUGACGCUGAUGCGCGAAAGCGUGGGUAGCAAACAGG